GACGAACGCUGGCGGCGUGCCUAAUACAUGCAAGUCGAACGCAGUGGGGACGGGUGAGUAACCCGUGGGUAACCUCCCAUCAGAGGGGAUAACACUUGGAAACAGGUGCUAAACCGAUACUGAUGGAUGGCCCCGCUGUGCAUUAGCUAGUUGGUGAGGUAACGGCUCACCAAGUACACGCGGCAUAGCCGACCUGAGAGGGUGAUCGGCGUACCUGGGAUUGAGCCAGGGCCCAGACUCGUACGGUAGGCAGCAGUAGGGAAUCUUCGGCAAUGGACGAAAGUCUGAACGAGCAACGCCGCGUGAGUGAAGAAGGUUUUCGGAUCGUAAAACUCUGUUGUUAGAGAAGCGGUAUCUAACCAGAAAGCCACGGCUAACUACGUGCCAGCAGCCGCGGUAAUUC
rnacentral:rRNA from 1 species